rnacentral:rRNA from 1 species
CGCAGCCGCGGUAAUACGAAGGGUGCAAGCGUUACUCGGAAUUACUGGGCGUAAAGCGUGCGUAGGUGGUCGUUUAAGUCCGUUGUGAAAGCCCUGGGCUCAACCUGGGAACUGCAGUGGAUACUGGGCGACUAGAGUGUGGUAGAGGGUAGCGGAAUUCCUGGUGUAGCAGUGAAAUGCGUAGAGAUCAGGAGGAACAUCCAUGGCGAAGGCAGCUACCUGGACCAACACUGACACUGAGGCACGAAAGCGUGGGGAGCAAACAGGAUUAGAUACCCUGGUAGUCCACGCCCUAAACGAUGCGAACUGGAUGUUGGGUGCAAUUUGGCACGCAGUAUCGAAGCUAACGCGUUAAGUUCGCCGCCUGGGGAGUACGGCCGCAAGGUUGAAACUUAAAGGAAUUGGCGGG